CUCUGGGGGGUGUAAACAGUUAACACACUCAGCUGCUAACUGAAAAGUUGGUGGUUCAAGGCCACCCAGAGG
rnacentral:tRNA from 1 species